CUGGAGGAAGGUGGGGAUGAUGUCAAGUCAUCAUGGCCCUUAUGGAGUGGGCUACACACGUGCUACAAUGGUGGCUACAAUGGGCUGCAAAGUCGCGAGGCUAAGCUAAUCCCUUAAAAGCCAUCUCAGUUCGGAUUGUACUCUGCAACUCGAGUGCAUGAAGUUGGAAUCGCUAGUAAUCGUGGAUCAGCACGCCACGGUGAAUACG
rnacentral:rRNA from 1 species